ACACGUGUGGUGAAACGGUAUCAUGCUUGCCUUCCAAACAAGCGGCCGGGGUUCAACUCCCCGCACGUGUA
rnacentral:tRNA from 1 species